UACGUAGGGUGCAAGCGUUGUCCGGAAUUAUUGGGCGUAAAGAGCUCGUAGGCGGUUUGUUGCGUCGGCUGUGAAAUCCCGAGGCUCAACCUCGGGUCUGCAGUCGAUACGAGCAAACUAGAGUGUUGCAGGGGAGACUGGAAUUCCUGGUGUAGCGGUGAAAUGCGCAGAUAUCAGGAGGAACACCGGUGGGCGAAAGGCGGGGUCUC
rnacentral:rRNA from 1 species